rnacentral:rRNA from 1 species
GAACGCUGGCGGUGUGCCUAAUACAUGCAAGUCGAUCGGGCGUAGCAAUACGUCAGAGGCGUACGGGUGAGUAACACGUAGGUAACCUACCUUUAAGACUGGGAUACCCAGACGAAGUUUGGCUAAUACCGGAUAACAACAUUUGAGACAUCUCUUUCGUUUGAAAGGCGCUGCAAGGCGCCACUUUUUAGAUGGACCUGCGUCGCAUUAGCUAGUUGGUGAGAUAAAAGCCCACCAAGGCUGGGAUGCGUAGCCGAUCUGAGAGGAUGACCGGCCACAAUGGGACUGAGACACGGCCCAUACUCCUACGGGAGGCAGCAGUAGGGAGUUUUCGGCAAUGGGGGAAACCCUGACCGAGCAACACCGCGUGAGUGAUGAAGGUCCUCGGAUCGUAAAGCUCUGUUACGAGGGACGAAUGAUCGCUUUAGGAAAUGAGAGCGGUUUGACGGUACCUCGCCAGAAAGCGACGGCUAACUACGUGCCAGCCGCUGC